rnacentral:snoRNA from 1 species
UCAUUUGAUGAACAAAAAAUAUUUCGCUGUGUUCUUACCGAGACACGUCGUUGAAGAUAAAAAACCAUUCACCUUGGAGAACUGACCA